UAGGGAAUAUUGCUUAAUGGGCGAAAGCCUGAAGCAGCAACGCCGCGUGCGCGAUGAAGGCCUUCGGGUUGUAAAGCGCUUUUAGCUGGGAAGAGGAAGGACGGUACCAGCGGAAUAAGCCUCGGCUAACUACGCGCCAGCAGCCGCGGUAAAACGUAGGAGGCGAGCGUUAUCCGGAUUUACUGGGUGUAAAGCGCGUGCAGGCGGUUUGCUAAGUUGGGUGUGAAAGCUCCUGGCUCAACUGGGAGAGGUCGCUCAAG
rnacentral:rRNA from 1 species